GCCUGGGUGGCCGAGUGGUUGUAGGCGCUACAGUCUGGAACACUACGGUCGCAGGUUCGAAUCCUGCCUCGGGCA
rnacentral:tRNA from 1 species